CAUGGCCCUUUCUGUCAGUUUGUCAGCCUGUGCAGCCAGUCGAGAGUUUAUAUCGAUGAUGACUGCGCUGAUAUAACGUUGGAAGCCAGCUCUUGUGGGGCUGGACGUGGAGGAGCCUCCUCAUCGCUCGCCGGGAUGUCUUCUCGGUCUGCCUGCCUGCCUGCCCCGAGUCUCAGUCCGAAUCCGAAUCCAUAUCUGAGGGCUUGCUGCCAGAUACGCCGCACAGAUACAGCCAAAGAGGAGCAGACCUCUUCAUUGGCCUUUUCGUGAUCGGUGAGACCGCUCAAAGCGUUUCUCAUCAGCAAAUGGUAGCUGGACACCAACUAGUCCAAGUCCAAGUCCAAGUGGCCGGCGGAGCGUAACGAACGAGCUCCGGGUGUCGGUGUCCCCCACAUUUCCUGCGCUCUUUGAUGGGGUUUCCAGCAGCCUACAAAAAAAUAAGCUCUUCAAUACGAAACAUCCUUCGCCUGCCUGUUCCACGGUGCCCGUAGAUCUGGCUCCCUUCCAGUUCGAUA